CCAGGUAGUGGUUGUGGUCUAAUCGAAUUCUGUCUGUGGGAAAAAUCUAAUAAAUUAUCAGGAUAUCGAUUGGUUCAGGAGUGUGUUUUUAAAAAACAGGGAUAUUCUUUUAAUUUGAUUUUUUAUUUUAUUUUCUUUUUCCAAAGAUUCCAUUAUUCACCCGUUCCAUUUGUUUUGUUAGUUUUUUUAUUUAUUUUGUUUUAUUAUUUGUUUUCUUUUAUUCACGAUUUUUCUUCAUCUUUUCUUUUUGUUCUUUUUUAUUCUUGCGAUUUCUUUUCACUUUUGCGCUCUUUCUUUAUUUCCAAUCUGGUUGGAUUAUGUUGCUUUGGUUUAGUGGGAUUAAUUAGUUAAGAGGUAAGGUUAUUUUUUUCUAUUCCUUUGUUGAAUGUUGUUCUUUUGGCAUUUAGGGAUUUUUGGAAAUUUAAUAGUUGUGGUGUUAAAUCUGAGUUAUAUGUUAUCUAAUUAGUCUGAAUCAUUUUAGGGGAAGAUCGUGAGGCGAUUGGUGUUCCUCCAAUGCCGUAAUUUCGAG
rnacentral:lncRNA from 1 species